AAAACGGAAGGAUUGUAAUCAAAACAGAAGUCUUUUGAAUGUAAUUGUAGCGAAAAACAUCAUUCAUAAAAUCGUACAACUUGGAGGUAGAAGGCAGCAAACAUGAACUCACUUGUGGAGCCUGUAUUAUCAAGCCACAUUGGCAAGGUGGACUUAUAGCUUCUAUUUUAUCAAGCAAACAAUAUAUGUCCUGAGUUAUGAACAGAACACCCAAAAUAUCCUUGCCUGGGAAGACCCUAAGAUGCCAGAUGAGGUGACCCUCGUGACCUGUGGAAUCACAUUUUAUGAAAUCAGGUCCAGGACUUCCAUCCCCUGUGGUUUCCUGUGCCUCUGAAAGAUGAAGUCACCAGCAGGAAGGGGAAGAACGGCCAGGCAUGUACUCUUUAGCAGAAGGAAGUGUGCAAUGGUUGCUGAUGGUAUUGGAAUGAUGGAACUCUACCAGGUCUUUUUAGUGACCACCAGGAAGACAGUGACUGUCACCCAGCUAUGUGCUCUCUCUCUCUCUCUCUCUCUCUC